GAUGAACGCUAGCGGCAGGCUUAAUACAUGCAAGUCGAACGGUGUCUUCGGACAUAGUGGCGCACGGGUGCGUAACACGUAUGCAACCUACCUUACAUUGGGGGAUAGCCUUUCGAAAGGGAGAUUAAUACCGCAUAAGACAGUAGCUGGGCAUCCAGCAGCUGUUAAAGAUUUAUCGAUGUAAGCUGGGCAUGCGUCCAAUUAGCUAGUUGGUGAGGUAACGGCUCACCAAGGCAAUGAUUGGUAGGGGAACUGAGAGGUCAAUCCCCCACACUGGCACUGAGAAACGGGCCAGACUCCUACGGGAGGAAGCAGUAGGGAAUAUUGGGCAAUGGACGCAAGUCUGACCCAGCCAUGCCGCGUGCAGGAUGAAGGCGUUAUGCGUUGUAAACUGCUUUUAUACAGGAAGAAACGACUCUUGCGAGAGGCAUUGACGGUACUGUAUGAAUAAGCACCGGCUAACUCCGUGCCAGCAGCCGCGGUAAUAC
rnacentral:rRNA from 1 species